GACUGUCCGAGUUGUAAUCUAGAGAAGUGUUACCCGUGCUGGACUGUGUACAAGUCUCCUGGAAUGGGGCAUCAUAGAGGGUGAGAAUCCCGUCUUUGACACGGACUACCAGUGCACUGUGGGUGUGCUCUCGAAGAGUCGAGUUGUUUGGGAAUGCAGCUCAAAAUGGGUGGUAAAUGCCAUCUAAAGCUAAAUAUUGGCGAGAGACCGAUAGCGAACAAGUACCGUGAGGGAAAGAUGAAAAGAACUUUGGAAAGAGAGUUAAACAGUACGUGAAAUUGCUGAAAGGGAAACGCUUGAAGUCAGUCGCGUUGGCCAGAAAUCAGCCUUGCUUUUGCUUGGUGUACUUUCUGGUCUCUACGGGUCAGCAUCAAUCUUGACCACUGGAUAAAGUCUGUGGGAAUGUGGCAUCUUUUGGAUGUGUUAUAGCCCAUGGUCGCAUACGGUGGUUGGGAUUGAGGAACUCAGCACGCCGCAAAGGCCGGGUCAGUCUUGACCACGUUUCGUGCUUAGGAUGCUGGCAUAAUGGCUUUAAUCGACCCGUCUUGAAACACGGACCAAGGAGUCUAACAUGCCUGCGAGUGUUUGGGUGGAAAAACCCAUGCGCGCAAUGAAAGUGAAAGUUGAGAUCUUCUUGUCAAAGGAAGAGCAUUGACGCCCAGACCAGACCUUCUGUGACGGAUCUGCGGUAGAGCAUGUGUGUUGGGACCCGAAAGAUGGUGAACUAUGCCUGAAUAGGGUGAAGCCAGAGGAAACUCUGGUGGAGGCUCGUAGCGAUUCUGACGUGCAAAUCGAUCGUCAAAUUUGGGUAUAGGGGCGAAAGACUAAUCGAACCAUCUAGUAMCUGGUUCCUGCCGAAWUUUCCCUCAGAAAGCAAAAACUCAUAUC
rnacentral:rRNA from 1 species